GUGCCUGCCCAGAUCACUUUUAAUGAGGCUGCUGGCCUACUCUGCCAGACAUCAGAGUGGCUGCCCUACAUUACCUCACGUGCCCUGAUCAUACUGACACAGCACUGACUUUAGUUCUGGACUGACGGGGCUGAAAUGCCAUUAACCAUAAUAUAAUGAACUGAGAUGUCUCCCCAUCGAGUUUAAAUCAGACACAAUAAAUUUGAAAUAUAAUCAAAUCAACAUGUAUGGUAUCGCAGCGGAAUGCUUGUUUCUAGCUCCAACAGUGCAGUAAUAGCAAGCAAUACAAAGCAAUACACACAUAAUCCAAAAAGAAAGUUUCACAUUUUUUGAGAAACAGACGCCUCACAAGUCCUCAACUGGUAGCUUCAGUAAAUAGUACCCACAAAACACCAGUCUCAACGUCAACAGUGAAGAGGCGACUCCAGGAUGCUUGCCUUCUAGGCAUAGUUCCUCUGUCCAGUGUCUGUGUUCUUUUGCCCAUCUUAAUAUUUUAUUUUUAUUGGCCAGUGUGAGAUAUGGCUUUUUCUUUGCAACUCCAGCAUCCCGAAGUCGCCUCUUCACUGUCGAUGUUGAGACUGGUGUUUUUGCGUGUACUAUUUAAUAAAGCUGCCAGUUGAGGAGUAGAACACAGUUUUGUACAAUAUCUUCAGUUUCUUGGCAAUUUCUCACAUGGCAUAGCCUUCAUUUCUCAAAACAAGAAUAGACUGACGAGUUUCAGAAGAAAUGCCUUUGUUUCUGGCCAUUUUGAGCCUGUAAUCGAACCCACAAAUGCUGAUGCUCCAGAUACUCAACUAACCUAAAGAAGGCCAGUAUUAUUGCUUCUUUAAUCAGAUCAACAGUUUUCAGCUGUGCUAACAUAAUUGCAAAAGGGUUUUCUAAUGAUCAAUGAUCAUUUUAAAAUUAUAAACAUGGAUUCGCUAACACAACGUGCCAUUGGAACACAGGAGUGGUGGUUGCUGAUAAUAGGCCUCUGUACGCCUAUGUAGAUCAGCCAUUUCCAGCUACAACAGUCAUUUACAAAAAAAAAAAAGAUUUAAAAAAAAAAAAGGAAAUUUCUAAGUGACCCCAAACUUUUGAACGGUAGUGUAUACAUACUAACAGUACCAGUCAAAAAGUUUGGACACACAUACUCAUUCAAGGGCUUUCUUUCUUUUUACUAUUUUCUACAUUGUAGAAUAGUUAAGACAUAAAAACUAUGAAAUAACACAUAGGGAAUCAUGUUGUAACCAAAAAACUGCUAAACCAAUUCAAAUAUAAUUAAGAUUUGAGAUUCUUCAAAGUAGUCACCGUUUGCCUUGAUGACAGCUUUGUACACUAUUGGCUUUCUCUCAACCAGUUUCAUGAGGUAGUCACCUGGAAUGCAUUUCAAUUAACAGGUGUGCCUAG
ensembl:lncRNA